rnacentral:lncRNA from 1 species
GUGCAGCCACUGAGACCAGUGUUUACACUCAACCAAACAAUUAACUAUUGCGCUUGAUAAACGGGUGGCAACUGAAUACACACCAGACUACCCUCAAGAAACAUGUCAAGGGGACACCCUUGGGAUGGCAUAAUGUAUGAGAUUCCCAAUUCAAGAUGGCGGUCAAAAUAAUGAUUUGAAAACUGUUCUGAAAAAUGCUAAACAUGCUUUUAAAUUUUUUUUUAAGUUGUACUUAACUACCGCUUUUUUUUCCAGUGCACUUUACAAUCUGGUGCGCCUUAUGUAUGAAAACAGACGCGAAUAGACGCGUUCAUUGAUGGUGCGCCUUAUAAUCAGGUGCGCCUUGUAGUGCGAAAAAUACGGUAAUUAAAUUCAGUGGUUAAUCAUCGUUUUUUUCCCCAUGCCAAUCACCCAGCCAACUUGACAUUUUCAGACGAAAAGAUUCAGUGUUAGAAACAACCAGACUCCUUCCAAAAAGGUUUCCAUGACAUUGGAGCAGGUGACAUGAGGAGACAGACUAGGACUUUGUGGGUGAGAUAUCUAAUCGGUCCUUCUGCAGGUCUCUUGGUUUUGGGAGUCAGCCUCCAUCACUACAGCUGUGGGAAGCAAGAAACUUCUUUUUUAGUUGGUAAAAAAUGGGCCUGUCAAAUCUUAUCAUCCUUUCAUCAGUUUGAAGGACAAGAUAGAGGAAUGGAAAAUAGAGGGAGAGGGGAAAAAAAAUCCUCUUUGGAACUCAGGAGUGAACUUGGCAGCAACAGCUCAGCUAAUCAGGUUUACUUCAUCAGUGCAUUCAGAUGCCAAAGCUGGAGAAAAGGCAAGAGAGGGGGAGAGAUAGACGAGCAACAAUACAAAAUUAACCCCCAGCCCAUGUUUGUUAAUUCAGCACGCAGUGAUGGUUAUUUAUGUGGAGGGAAAGUGAGGGCAAAGCACCGGCCUGCCUCUGGCACUCUAAUCAAGCCGCUGGUUCUAUUGCAGCUCAGAAAAAGAACGAUGGAGGGGAUUAUUGUAUGACUAAGCCUGUCUGCUCUUGCAUAUUCAAAUAAGUUGUGUUGUGGCAAUGUCGAUGAAUCACAGAUGGCCAAGAUUUAUAAGCCUUUUUAUAUGCUACCACUGGAGAAGAAAACAUCUACACUCAGAUAAUGAUUUAUAUUUUCAUACGCUCAUAAAAUAUACAUGUGUACGAUGCAGAGACAGGAUCCACACUGAGUGAGAGAGCUAAUGUGAUUCCAGCCUUAAUGCUAUGCACCCCACUGGUUGCUCUGCGUGGUGGAGGCAAUGUGUUUCCGAGUGCUUUCUCACAGCUUGAGGAUGACAUUGUACAUCAGAUAACAUGGGGAGGAUCUUACCAUAACAACAGUGUGAAGACGCAGAGGCCUAAAGGUUAGAGGAAAAGAUCUGACAGGAGGAAUUGUGCCAAGGAGAAAAACGAAGGAAACAAGGGAUGCUGUCUCUCUGAGCAACUCGGCAAAGGUCCUGUUUGACAACCUCGUACUUGGUAACAAGUGCACUCAAGUGUCUUUCCAUGUAAGUUUCAGGUUUAGGAAGGCUAAACCUCUUCAAUCCACAAUGUUUUUUCAAAUUUUUUAUGGGUGUCCCCUGUAAAUGUCAAGGCAACAACCCAACAGCAAUUUCAAA